rnacentral:lncRNA from 1 species
CCCUUCCUGGCCUCAUUCCCAGGACCCCUAGGAGCCCCAGCCCUCACCCCCAGGCCCCAAUUCAGCAACAGGGAGUCUCGGGGCCCAGUUGCUCAUGGGAAGCACAGGCCACCCAGGGCAGUUUUGAGUCUUGGAGGAGCUAAUGCUGCUCAGAGGCUCAAGGAGAGGCUGGUCAUCCAGGGGGAGGGGUAAGGCAGAGAUUGGGGGGGACCCCAGGGCUCCAGGGGCUCUGAGAUGGGUGGGUAAAGGUGGUCACGGGAGGGAGAUGUUGGGACCAGCCCCCUUACCUCCCAUCCUGACCCCCAGGAGGCUCCCAGGAUCAACCCCUCCCACCCACGGACUCAGCCCCCCCCAGGGGUGAGUGCAGGUCUGUGGAGGGGAGUACUCGGGGGACACGGUGGGGUAAACCCCACUGACCAGCUGAGCUUCCUGUUCUCAGGGGACGGGUCCCGAGUCUGCCCUGUUAGAGCUCAGUCAGCACAGGGUCCUGACCCCAGAAAAGUAUGAGACACUCAUACAAGAGGGGACACAGGGCAGACUCCACAGAGGGGGACACAGAACCCAGGGAAGGGCUGCGUGUCCCCAACUCCUCACCCAAACCCCACUUCAUGAUUCUCAGGACCAGCAGACACCAUCCGCCCAUCACAAAACCAGCCAGAUCCCACGAGCGCCUCUCCCCGACAAGACUACACAGUGGGGAACAUCGUCCGGAUGGCCGUGGCUGCCCUGAUCCUGCUGGGCCUUGGGAUUCUGCUCUUUGAAGUUCAACAUGGCCAUGGAGGAACCCAAGACGCAGCCAGGAGCUGAGCACAGAGGCCACAGGGCACCAUCCAGAGGGCACAGCCUUGGCAAUGAGCCGAUGGGCCCAGGAGGUUCUGGAAGAGAAUCCGCAGUGUUGUGAGAACUGCCUGCUGAGACCGUGGAGUGAGAGAUGGGGUGUGGGUGUCGGGGGAGGACUGGGGAGUCCCCGUGCAAGGCUCUGCCUCUGUUAAACCGAGGUGCUCUCCCCCUCCUUGGACGCCUCUCCCUGACGGCCUGUCUUCUCUCACCUGGGACAUGAGGUGCAGCCCACAUGGCAGGUGUGUGCCCAAACCUGAAACACCUGCGUGCUCUGGUCCAAUUUCAUGGGGGAUAUUUGUCUUUUAAUUUAAUUCCACAUUCCCUGAGAUGUACUACUGACCUCCACCUCUGCAGCCAGAAGCAAAAGAUGGUUUAAAGAACUGAACUAGAGAAAAAAUGAUUGAGAGAGAAAAAUAAACGAAUAAAUAAAAAUAAAUAAAAAACUGAACAAGUGACGAAAAAUCAGGUAUGAUUUGGAACGGAUGAAUCCAAAACGAUUCCCUUAAGCCCUUUCUGGAAUCUCCAGCCCUCCCCUCCUCAUCACAUGUCACCCAGUGCAGUUCUUCCAGAAACACCUGCACUUUGCAGGGACACCCAGGUGUUUGAGGUGACAGCCAGGUGCUCUGCUG